CGAAAAAUUAUUAUUGGACGACAAGAUGAGAGCUCAGUUGAAAUGCGUGAUACAAAAGAUUGGAGGAGAAGAAGUUCCUGUAUUCGUCCGUUUAGCGUUAAAGCAAAUGUGUCUGAUGAGUUGGCGAUUAAUUUAACUUGGCGUGGGACAUCGGAGAAGCCAAGCACACAAAACUUUGCAGCUUUUUCCAUCAUAAAAGAUUUUUGUCACUCCAAGUUCCAAAAUUCGACAGAUUUUCAAAUAAAUAAAAUUGUGCAACAACAUUUCUUACACGCCACGGAUAGAGUGCUCAAAUGGAAACAUUCAAACUAACUCCUAUUCUUAACGAAAUAAUAGUUGUUUUCUUUUGUACCCGAGCUGCAAAAGAACGCUCAACUGGCUUAUAUUCAACUGUCUUAUAAUUUGCAUUCACUUCACAACACUGGUGUCAGCUGUCAUAAAAUGUGGACUGUUUGUGAAAUUUUUGAGCGAAACAUUUAGCAAAAUGAGUAAUUCCGAAGAA